rnacentral:rRNA from 1 species
AUUGAACGCGGGAGGCAUGCCUUACACAUGCAAUUCGAACGGCAGCACGGGAGCAAUCCUGGUGGCGAGUGGCGAACGGGUGAGUAAUAUAUCGGAACGUGCCCAGUAGUGGGGGAUAACUGCUCGAAAGAGCAGCUAAUACUGCAUACGACCUGAGGGUGAAAGGGGGGGAUCGCAAGACCUCUUGCUAUUGGAGCGGCCGAUAUCAGAUUAGCUAGUUGGUGGGGUAAAGGCCGACACAGGCAACGAUCUGUAGUUGGUCUGAGAGGACGACAAGCACGCUUGGGCAUGAGACACGGCCCAGACUCCGACGGGAGGCAGUAGUGAGGAAUUGUGGAAAAUGGGCGCAAGCCUGAUCCAGCAAUGCCGCGUGAAGGAAGAAGGCCUUCGGGGUGUAAACUGCUUUUGUCAGGGAAGAAAUGCUCUAGGUUAAUACCCUUGGGGGGAUGACGGUACCUGAAGAAUAAGCACCGGCUAACUACGUGCCAGCCGCCGCAGUAAAAC